rnacentral:rRNA from 1 species
AUUGAACGCUAGCGGGAUGCUUUACACAUGCAAGUCGAACGAGAGGCGGACGGGUGAGUAAUAUAUCGGAACGUGCCCAGUGGCGGGGGAUAACUACUCGAAAGAGUUGCUAAUACCGCAUACGAUUGGAGCGGCCGAUAUCGGAUUAGCUAGUUGGUGGGGUAAAGGCUCACCAAGGCAACGAUCCGUAGCUGGUUUGAGAGGACGAACAGCCACACUGGAACUGAGACACGGCCCAGACUCCUACGGGAGGCAGCAGUGGGUAAUUUUGGACAAUGGGCGAAACCCUGAUCCAGCCAUCCCGCGUGUAUGAGAAGGCCUUCGUGUUGUAAAGUACUUUUGGCAGAGAAGCGGUAUCUGCAGAAUAAGCACCGGCUAACUACGUGCCAGCAGCCGCGGUAAUAC